UCAGGGUUAUGGGGAGAAAGCUGGCUGGGGGACAACAAUCUGACAGCUGAUUGUACUGAGGAUCUGGCCGACGCUCUCAGUACAAGCUGCUCUCUGACGCAGCUGAUCCUGAAUAAGAAUAAUCUGGGAGAUUGUGGAGUGAAGCGACUGUGUGAGGCUCUGAGAAACCCGGAGGGUAAAAUAGAGAGCCUGGAGCUGUACAGUAACAAUCUGACAGCUGAUUGU